AUUGAACGCUGGCGGCAUGCCUUACACAUGCAAGUCGAACGGUAACGCGGGCAACCUGGCGACGAGUGGCGAACGGGUGAGUAAUAUAUCGGAACGUGCCCAGUAGUGGGGGAUAGCCCGGCGAAAGCCGGAUUAAUACCCGCAUACGACCUACGGGUGAAAGCGGGGGAUCGCAAGACCUCGCGCUAUUGGAGCGGCCGAUAUCAGAUUAGGUAGUUGGUGGGGUAAAGCCUACCAAGCCUACGAUCUGUAGCUGGUCUGAGAGGACGACCAGCCACACUGGGACUGAGACACGGCCCAGACUCCUACGGAGGCAGCAGUGGGAAUUUUGGACAAUGGGCGCAAGCCUGAUCCAGCCAUGCCGCGUGC
rnacentral:rRNA from 1 species